UUUUAUACUUGGAUGACAUUUUUGGAUGAAGAUAAUUAGUUAUUUCUCAAGGAAGUAUACAUCAGAGCAUAUCACAUUUCCUGGACAAUUACUCAGACAAACCUGCCAUUGACUUCAGAGGGAGUUUUCCCUGAAUAAAGACUUCAGGAUGGAGCCAUAAAAAUACUUAUUUGAUAGUCUGAUUAUGCUGUGAGGAAAAUGUGGUAUCAAAAGACACCAGAACUUGAAUAUUCAAGUGGAAUAUAAGAUUUCAGGAUUGUGGAAGAUGGAAUUAAGGUAACUGCCAUGGCAACAUCUAAUAAAGCCUUUGUGAUGUGGCACAGCUCCAGCCUCCCACCCCAGCCUCGCACCACCACUGCUACAGCUACUCUGGCAGCUCCAAGGUGUUCUCAGUACAUUGCCGGCUGUUGAUGCUUUGUCGGUGGCAUGACCCUGGCCAUAGAACAUUUGUGUGUAUGAUGGUUAUUUUGGCAUGCUGCCAACAUUUUCCUGACAAACAUAAGUGAGAGAAGGAAAAAUGGUCAUUUUUAAUGGUUUCUAUCUCAGCAAAAGCUGAUGAUGAUAUUUUGGGACAAUGAAAAGCUAGAGGGUGUUCUCCCCGCCAAAUACCAAAGGUAUGUAAAGAAUAGCUCAAAAAAAAUUAUCUUUUAUAAUGGAAAGUGUUAGGCAAUUUAAUGUAGGGGUUGUUAUCAGCUCCACCUAUAUGAAAAAAAAGAAAAAAAAGGAAAGCAAAAAUGUAUUACAGUAAUGUAAUGUAAGACUCCCCUUGCUUGAAAACAACUUGCUUGAGUCACAGUACAUCAUAUCUAAUCUGCAGCUGAAUGGGUGCAGCAGUACCUAGAAGUCUCACUGGCUAAAGUUUUCAAAAGUGCCUAAGUCCCGUUUUCAACAGUGAGUCACUUAGGUACCUUUGGAAAUUGUAUCCACUGAAGUCAAUGUGGCUCUGCAUGGGCACAGAGAUCUUCCUGAUGAUUUCAGGGUUGGGAUCCUAGAUUGUCAAUUCCUUGGAACAAUUCUUAUUUUUUCCCUGCAGUGUAAAGUACCAUGCCUACCUAUGGUUCCACAUGUUUAAAUAUUUAAAUUAUAACAACAAUUCAGAGUUUUGUAUACAAAUAGGAGAUUAAGCCACUAUAUGAAAAGCAGUUUAUGAAAAGUGUACUGUACCUGACUUUUUAUUAGCAGAUAAGUUGCGAGUCCAUCUCUUACCCUUGAGACAACAGGUUUUAUUUGGCCAUUCUCAGACAUUAGUAUUUUAUGAUAUAUUUGGAGGAUACUACAUUAUGCAAUGUGUUUGAGCAUUACAGAGUCACAAAACAUUUAUAGAGUCAUAAUUGAUUAAAUAAUCCUGUAAACCUCACACCUGCUUGAUGAAUCCAGUGCUGCUAAGCAAGAGAACCAAUAGUCGACUGCAAGAACUUUAGUUGGGUACAUAAAAAUAAUCCACUAAAUUAACUUGGAUUUCUUUUCAAAAUUGGUUAACAGUCUGUGAAAAAAAAGCAUCGCGAGUUUCAACAACAGCUGACAUGUCAGUGCAAAGCUUACAAGCAUGUAAAGACCCGAGUAAAUGCUUGUUAAAUGUAAACUCUUUGUUCUCAGAAGAUAAUUAUUUACUCAAGAUAUUGUAAAACUGUAUCUCUGUAGGCACCAUGAUACUAGCCUGUUCUGCUAGUAAUGUAUUUCCUAAUGGACCCCACUCCUAGCAACUGCUCCCCAAAAUAGGUUCCAUUCCCAGUCCUGCAGCUUUGAACACUUGCAAGGAAACCCACAGUUCUGCAUUUAGAUCCUGCCUCUGCAACAUGCAC